CUCAUGGACCUCCGUUAAGGGACUACACGUCCCAUGAAACCCCGCAGUAUAAGCUUGAAGUAUCAUCACUGAGGAAAGUGUAAUUGUCUCAGGGCCAGUGGCGCAAUGGAUAACGCGUCUGACUACGGAUCAGAAGAUUCCAGAAUGGCCUCAGCUCUAUGGCAAGCAUGAUGUUGAACAGUUCCCAGUAAUUCUGUACCACCAUGCUCCCCGCCUUUCCGACAGCACUUUCCUGUGGCUUCUAAAAACAGCAGGUACUGUGGGGCUGCCUAUAUGAGCCAGAGAGAAGCAGAAGCGAAGGAGUGAAAAAGAAAUAGAGCACCUUGUAAAGGACUUGGCCCUAAGGAUAAAGUCAGAAUUGGGGAAGUCUGUCUUCUGUUUGGCCUCCCUCUACUCUGACCUCCAUGCUGAACUCUUGUGCUCAGAAGCAUGUUAAGUUGCCGAUGGAACGCCUACUGGAUGCAAGCCUUGGCUGAGAUGAAAAGGCACUGAAGGAUCAACAUGGCAAUGUUCAAAAUAUAGAAGAUUCAAGUUCUUAAAGGAUUCAAGAUAUAGAAAGGGUUUGAGAUAGGGAAAGAAUUCAAGAUACAGAAGGAUUCAAGAUAUAGAAAGGGCUUGAGAUAGGGGAAGAAUUCAAGAUACGUAAGGAUCUGAGAUUUUGGAGUACAAGAUAUGAGAAAAUUCAAGAUCCAGGUAGGAAGGAAGCCUUCACAGAGUUUGCUGGCCACCCUUCUCUUCAGGUUAUGCCUACUGAUACAGCAUGGAAGCGACUGGAGUUUUUAGUCUACUGCACAGGCGGGUCCUUAAUGGGAGCCGGUGUAAUUUGUUUUCUAAUAAGAGCAUCGAAGAAUCUUCAUGUAUCCUAGUUUCCCCAGGAACUUCGGCUUUUAUGUGAGAAACCAUAGUGAACUUUAUAAAUCCUUUUUAUUAUAGAAAGCAAGAACCUGGCUCAGACCUCUCUGGGUAAGUCAUCAAACCUCCUUCAAAUGGCAGCUCUUACCUUGUUGGAGUAUUUCCAUCCCCUCUCCAGGUGAGCAGAAAUCUCCGGAUGCCAUCUGAUUUUCUUGA